rnacentral:rRNA from 1 species
UGGGGAAUCUUGCGCAAUGGGCGAAAGCCUGACGCAGCAACGCCGCGUGUGUGAUGAAGGUUUUCGGAUCGUAAAGCACUGUCAGGAGGGAAGAAUUUUUGACGGUACCUCCAAAGGAAGCACCGGCUAACUCCGUGCCAGCAGCCGCGGUAAUACGGAGGGUGCAAGCGUUGUUCGGAAUCAUUGGGCGUAAAGCGCGCGCAGGCGGUUUGCCAAGUCUGAUGUGAAAGCCCGGGGCUCAACCUCGGAACUGCAUUGGAAACUGGUAGACUUGAGUAUGAGAGGGGUUUGUGGAAUUCCUGGUGUAGGGGUGAAAUCCGUAGAGAUCAGGAGGAACACCGGUGGCGAAGGCGACAAACUGGAUCAUUACUGACGCUGAGGCGCGAAAGCGUGGGGAGCAAACAGG